rnacentral:rRNA from 1 species
GAGUUUGAUCAUGGCUCAGGAUGAACGCUAGCGGCAGGCCUAACACAUGCAAGUCGAGGGGUAACAGAGAAGCUUGCUUCUGCUGACGACCGGCGCACGGGUGCGUAACGCGUAUGCAACCUACCUCAUACUGGAGAAUAGCCCUUGGAAACGAGGAUUAAUACUCCAUAGUAUCAUUCUUUCGCAUGUUAGAAUGAUUAAAGAAUUUCGGUAUGAGGUGGGCAUGCGUCCCAUUAGCUAGUUGGUGAGGUAACGGCUCACCAAGGCGACGAUGGGUAGGGGGCCUGAGAGGGUGGUCCCCCACACUGGUACUGAGACACGGACCAGACUCCUACGGGAGGCAGCAGUGAGGAAUAUUGGUCAAUGGAGGCAACUCUGAACCAGCCAUGCCGCGUGAAGGAUGACGGCCCUAUGGGUUGUAAACUUCUUUUAUAUGGGAAGAAACUUAUCUACGUGUAGAUAACUGACGGUACCAUACGAAUAAGGAUCGGCUAACUCCGUGCCAGCAGCCGCGGUAAUACGGAGGAUCCAAGCGUUAUCCGGAUUCAUUGGGUUUAAAGGGUCCGUAGGCGGAUUUUUAAGUCAGUGGUGAAAGCCGGCAGCUUAACUGUCGAACUGCCAUUGAUACUGGAAAUCUUG